rnacentral:rRNA from 1 species
AUUGAACGCUGGCGGCAGGCCUAACACAUGCAAGUCGAACGAGUGGCGGACGGGUGAGUAAUGUCUGGGAAACUGCCUGAUGGAGGGGGAUAAAUACUGGAAACGGUAGAUAAUAACGCAUACCAUCGGAUGUGCACAGAUGGGAUUAGCUAGUAGGUGGGGUAACGGCUCACCUAGGCGACGAUCCCUAGCUGGUAUGAGAGGAUGACCAGCCAUACUGGAACUGAGACACUGGCCAGACUCCUACGGGAGGCAGCAGUGGGGAAUAUUGCACAAUGGGCGCAAGCCUGAUGCAUCCAUGCCGCUUGUAUGAAGAAGGCCUUCGGGUUUUAAAGUACUUUCAGCGGGGAGGCGUUACCCGCAGAAGAAGCACCGGCUAACUCCGUGCCAGCAGCCGCGGUAAUAC